AAACUUUUUAUCAGUCACAUCGCAUAUUUUAAGCGCCAAAAAGUUAUAGUCCGUAAUAUUAACCCGCAAAAUGAGAAACAGUAUACAUUCCGCAGUCCUUACUUUUCCUGCGGUCCUGCAUUCAUGUAUUGGCGGGAUGAAUGUAUGGUGGACGUGACCGGCGGCAGUAUCGGCGAGCUGCGUCUGUGAUUUUCAAGGUACAGGCUAUUCACACAAAAGGAAUCUGCUAGUGAUGACGACCUUGGGGACAGGCCAUGUUCUCCCUUCAUCAUUGCAAAAGGAGGCAGUUUCCUUACUGCAAAGAGCUUCGUCGUAUGUGUUGACAGCCUGCCAGCGAUGCAUGCAACGAACCCCUGCCAGGCAUUCAAGCUGAUGUUUUUUGUUCACUUCGUGUUCAACGUUGCAUACCCCAAAGACACAAGCCUCUGCUUGGAGUUUACACAGCGGUGUCAAUCCUGGCAGGGGAACCAAGGUAGAGCGCACCAAGAAAAAGCAGCAUUGCCUGUCCCCAAAAGUGGCUUCCCUCGUCACAUCGUUGCAAGACUAUGACUUUUAAGUGUUCUGUAACUUGAAAACAUUCUAUAUCAAUGCACUGUGAUAAUGUAACAACUUGUGGCAUGCCUUAUACCUUGUUUCUACCUCACUGCUUAAUGCAGUACUAGUCUCAAGCAAGGCACAGUUUGCCCAAGUCACUUUCCUUAUACAUAUACUUGGCGUUACAGUUUAGUGACUGGUUGUAUACAUUGUAGCACUGCUGUCUCUAUUCUAGUAAUAUUUUAAUUUUCAUAUUGUAGUUGCAAGGUUGGAUAUACUGAGUGGGUUGACACAAUGUUUUUGGUUGCACUGUGAUAAUGUAACAACUUGUGGCAUGCCUUAUGCCUUGUUGUUUGUACCUCACUGCUUAAUGCAGUACUAGUCUCAAGCAAGGCACAGUUUGCCCAAGUCACUUUCCUUAUAC